rnacentral:sRNA from 1 species
UAUAAUUUAGACCCAAUUGAAUUAUCAUAUUACCCUACAAUCAUGAACAUCUGAAAAGGAAAACGGAAAGCUUAACAAGUCUCUUGUAGCUUGUGGUCUUGCUUCUCUGUCUUUGUAUCGAUACUCAAUUGGAUCCACCAGCUACAGAAGAAGACGAAGAAUGUAAAAAAGUGUGGCGUGGCAAACAUGUUUUGCAAAAGAUUAGAGAAACAAAAGUAACCUGUUUUAGAUCUUUUAGUUUUGCAGAAUAAGCAUCUACAGUUUCAUCACCACCAUCAUCAUAGAGCCAUUCCUCGGUCUCUUUCAGGCCCCUAGAUACGUCCUUCCUCUCAUGUUCACUCGAAAAGCUCAGAUAUGUGCUGAAGAUCUAUUCAUGCAAUCAAAUAAAUUUAAAAACCAAUUAUUCAAUAAUGACUACACAACAACUUACUCAUAAAAUGUAUCUGAAUCUCACAAACCCGCCAUGUCUACAUAUCACUGAGAUAUUCAAUGUGUACCUUACUCCUUGUUUCAUAAAUAUAAGACUCCAACAGAUUCUUGUUGUCUUUGAUUAGCUCAGUAGCUCUGUCCUGAUCGGCUAACUGGAGUUCUUUUUCUUGAGCUUCCAAUAUCUCGGCCUUGGUCAUUGCACCAUAAAUGUUUUCAGUCACUGGUACAUGAAGCCUUCUGUUAGCUUUAUCUUUUCUUGUACCAUCAGCCUGUAACAAGGCAUGAUAGUAACUUUUAUUUUCUCAAAACACCAACAUGAAUCAUAUCUGCAAUCAAAACAAUCUCAACAAGAUAAAAAUGUACAGAUACAACACCACACACAUCAAAAAAAUGAAUUGCAAGAGUCUGACAGAUAUGGUACAGAAUUCAGCAUCAUAAAUAAGCAUAUAAUAAAAUUUAGCAAUAUAAUUUUGCACGUUUAAAGGGCAAUUUGCUAAUAUCUUCGCAUCUUCCACUUAAAAAAGGUGUGCAGGGAGAAAAGAGAACAGCACAAGAGAACGUACAGAAUGACGAGAAGCUUCAAACUUCUUAUUGAUACUAUCAUCUGAGGCAUUUUCCAUUGUCUCAGAAACAGGUGCAAUAUUGACUGUUUCAGAAUUUGAAUGAGAAUCGUCUGUUGUACCUGAAUCAUCCAC